GUGCACGCUGGCGGUAGGCCUCACACCUGCCGGUCGCACGGCAGCACAGUAAGAGCUUGCUCUUACGGGUGGCGAGUGGCGGACGGGUGAGGAAUACAUCGGAAUCUACUUUUUCGUGGGGGAUAACGUAGGGAAACUUACGCUAAUACCGCAUACGACCUACGGGUGAAAGCAGGGGAUCUUCGGACCUUGCGCGAUUGAAUGAGCCGAUGUCGGAUUAGCUAGUUGGCGGGGUAAAGGCCCACCAAGGCGACGAUCCGUAGCUGGUCUGAGAGGAUGAUCAGCCACACUGGAACUGAGACACGGUCCAGACUCCUACGGGAGGCAGCAGUGGGGAAUAUUGGACAAUGGGCGCAAGCCUGAUCCAGCCAUACCGCGUGGGUGAAGAAGGCCUUCGGGUUGUAAAGCCCUUUUGUUGGGAAAGAAAAGCAGCAGGUUAAUACCCCGCUGUUCUGACGGUACCCAAAGAAUAAGCACCGGCUAACUUCGUG
rnacentral:rRNA from 1 species